GAUGAACGCUGGCGGCGUGCCUAAUACAUGCAAGUCGAGCGAACAGACGAGGAGCUUGCUCCUCUGACGUUAGCGGCGGACGGGUGAGUAACACGUGGUUAACCUACCUAUAAGACUGGGAUAACUUCGGGAAACCGGAGCUAAUACCGGAUAAUAUAUUGAACCGCAUGGUUCAAUAGUGAAAGACGGUUUUGCUGUCACUUAUAGAUGGAUCCGCGCCGCAUUAGCUAGUUGGGAAGGUAACGGCUUACCAAGGCAACGAUGCGUAGCCGACCUGAGAGGGUGAUCGGCCACACUGGAACUGAGACACGGUCCAGACUCCUACGGGAGGCAGCAGUAGGGAAUCUUCCGCAAUGGGCGAAAGCCUGACGGAGCAACGCCGCGUGAGUGAUGAAGGUCUUCGGAUCGUAAAACUCUGUUAUUAGGGAAGAACAAAUGUGUAAGUAACUAUGCACGUCUUGACGGUACCUAAUCAGAAAGCCACGGCUAACUACGUG
rnacentral:rRNA from 1 species